rnacentral:antisense_RNA from 1 species
AGGAACACAAGACUCCGGAGGCAUGCCAGCAUAUAAAACCGUCAGGAGUAAUGGCUCAUGCCUGUAAUCCCAGCAUUUUGGGAGGCCUAAUCGGGCAGAUUGCUUGACGCCAGGAAUUCGAGACCAGCCUGGCCAACACAGUAAAGCCCCGUCUCUACUAAAAAUACAAAAAUUAGCCACAACUGCACAAACAAGCCAGAAACCAAACCCUACCGGGAACCUCCUGGUGUAUGAAGGGAGCCUAGCUCUGGCUGACUCUGCCUGUGUUCACAGACACUUUGCCUCAUUGGUUCCAGCCUCAGCUUCCAGUCUGGACAUGGAGCACAAUAACAGUGGGCCCACUGCUCUCCGAAUUCAUGCGCGCACUUGAAGGGAGUGUCUGGUGCAGGCAUGCAGGGAGGAAGAAUGACUCUGAGCUUGACCAUUCAACUUCGAAACUUUAACAUCAAUGGAUCAACACACACUGG